rnacentral:misc_RNA from 1 species
GCGAAAUGCGAUAAGUAAUGUGAAUUGCAGAAUUCAGUGAAUCAUCGAGUCUUUGAACGCACAUUGCGCCCCCUGGCAUUCCGGGGGGCAUGCCUGUCCGAGCGUCAUUGCUGCCCUUCAAGCCCGGCUUGUGUGUUGGGUCGUCGUCCCCUCCGGGGGACGGGCCCGAAAGGCAGCGGCGGCACCGCGUCCGGUCCUCGAGCGUAUGGGGCUUUGUCACCCGCUCGAUAAGGACCGGCCGGGCGCCAGCCGGCGUCUCCAACCUUUUUUUCUCAGGUUGACCUCGGAUCAGGUAGGGAUACCCGCUGAACUUAA